UUCAGUUUGGCACAACCACAGGUGACCGAUCCAGAGGAGACCAUCCCUGAGACUCUUGCAGCAGAGAGCCUUUCCUCUUUGACGGAUGAAGAGGCCGGUCCCUGUCCCACGGAGGCUGAUCCUGGGCCCAAGUCAGACAGGGUCCCAGAGCCUCAGGGGAGACCCUCUGAUGAAAAGCCCAGCGAUCAGGCGUUUGAUGAGGAUGCAUUUAACUCUUCCCCGGUAAGGAAGGAAGGAGGCUGUUUAAGAAGCAUUUGCUUAUUUCACUGUCUGCAUCCCCCUCUUUGACUUAUCCUUGUGUUUGCAAUCUUUCAGCUUCCU